rnacentral:lncRNA from 1 species
CAGCAAACCAGCUAAGAACAAAAGUAGGUUAACAAAAGCUUGUAUUAAUUUAUUGAUGAGAGUUGAAAAGGAAGAAAAAGAUUAUGACGUUUAAGGAAUGGUACUGAAUUACUAGGUUUCUUGGAGGAACUCCGCUAUGCUGUUCAACAAAAACCUGUGCUUACUUGCUCACUUUUAACCCCACUUGGAUAGAUGGUCCAGAAAAUCUAGCUUUUUCCAUUGUCCCAUCCAAAACUAUUUAUUCAGUACCUACUUCUUGCUGAGCACUAUAGCAAAGAAGGGAAGAAAAAUCUCUUAUGAUGGAGGGGCAUGGUAAGGCACAAAAGAGGAGA